rnacentral:lncRNA from 1 species
GCUAUUUGCUCAGCAGUCGGGCAACAUUUUGGCCUGUUGCACCAGCCAACCAAUCAUCUCUCCGCCAUGGCUUCGUCGCAGGAACCUGGGCUUCUUGAGCGUGGCAACCUUAAGGGUCUAAGCAAGGAGCUGCGACAUGGCCGUACUGCUCACAACAUGUCUUCCUCUUCUCUGCGCAAAAAAUCUGACCUCACUCUCGUUUCUAAGCUUCGAUGUGGAUUGCUUAGAAGCUUUUUGACUAAUCUUCAAGAAGUCAUUUUAGGGACUAAACUUUCUGUUCUUUUUCCUGC